rnacentral:rRNA from 1 species
UACAGAGGUCUCAAGCGUUGUUCGGAUUCAUUGGGCGUAAAGGGUGCGUAGGCGGCGCGGUAAGUCGGGUGUGAAAUCUCGGAGCUUAACUCCGAAACUGCAUUCGAUGCUGCCGUGCUUGAGGACUGGAGAGGAGACUGGAAUUUACGGUGUAGCGGUGAAAUGCGUAGAUAUCGUAAGGAAGACCAGUGGCGAAGGCGACUUCCUGGCCUGUUCUUGACGCUGAGGCGCGAAAGCUAGGGGGAGCAAACAGG